rnacentral:rRNA from 1 species
UACGUAGGGUGCAAGCGUUUGUCCGGAAUUAUUUGGGCGUAAAGAGCUCGUAGGCGGUGUGUCGCGUCGGCCGUGAAAACCUGGGGCUCAACUCUGGGCGUGCGGUCGAUACGGGCAUCACUGGAGUUCGGCAGGGGAGACUGGAAUUCCUGGUGUAGGCGGUGAAAUGCGCAGAUAUCAGGAGGAACACCGGUGGCGAAGGCGGGUCUCUGGGCCGAUGACUGACGCUGGAGGAGCGAAAGCAUGGGUAGCGAACAGGAUAGAAAC